AGGGUCUCCCGAAUUCACUCUACUCGCAGCCUUUCUCACACUACACCCAGCCACUAAACCUUUCAGGCCCACAGCAAUCUCAACCUCCUAACCAAGGCUCACAAAACCCAAAACCUCCUCACAACGGCUAAAGAUGACACAUGCAGAAGCUGAAUGCAAACGGGUUUGUAAACCUUUUUUUUUGCAAAUUCAGCAGUUUGGUAUCAUGCUAUCACGGCUCCAAACAAACAUCUGGUGGCUUCUCGGGGUGCUUGCAAGUUACGUGCCUUUCUGGCUCGCUUAGCAACAGGUAAUGAUGAUGCAGAGAGACAUGUACCUAAGUAACCCGAGGAGAUUCUUGGUCCAUACAUCCUCUGGGCUUAUAUAAAUGUUUGGUUUUGCCGUGUAAUAUUAUAAUAUCAUCCUCUUAUUGUAGUCUAUAUCUGAAGCUACCCUUAGUUAAAAAUCGGUGUUGGUGUCUGGUGAUAUUGAUAUGAGUACUGCAAACUCUCUUGCCUUUAUUUAUUUUUUUCUGGAUAUUUCGCUUAAUGCGUGUCUGAAUUAUUGUUUCUGCUUCCGUGGUAUUUAUUAUAUGAUCAUCUAUGAGAUAUGUGCAAGUUUUGGUUCCAGAUAGUGUCCUAUGGGGAUUGUCCAAUCGGUUUUGGGUAUCGGACAUAUUAACACCGACUUUCUUAGGUUUGUUACGGUUUCAGGAAGUACCGCUCGUGGAACCAUCCAUACAAGCAUCGGAUUCUACCCCGGGUGUGAUCCCACAAAGUUUGGUGUUACAUUUUUUUUUUCUCUGUGUCUCGGAAGGAAUAUAUCAAAAUAAAAUGUAAGUUUUCACAGAAAAAACGGUAUAUUAUUUUCAUCAUAUUGUGCGUAUUUUUGGCUUUGGUGAAGGUUAUUAGUCCAGAAAGGACAAAGCCCAUUUGGGUUGGUUUUGGACACGAAAGGGAUUGUGCAGCAUUGGCAAAUAGUGGUUAACGUUCGUCUAUCUGGUCUGGUGUUCCUUGUGAGGACCGUAGUUGGGCCCAAAUAUCAUAAAGAAACACACGAAACACUCUCCGUUUUUGGUUUUGAUCCCAGACAGACAAGAACACUCUCUCAUGUAUGGCAAAUGCCCUCCCUCUUUAAAUCAAAUAACGGACAGGAAGCAGUUGCGGCCCUGGGUAUAAGCAUUAGAAACAUCUGAUUCCGGCCGUUGAUAAUUAACAAAAUUUUCAGCCUAUUUAUAAAAUAUGCCAGUAGGUUAGAUGAUCAAACUAGCUAACAAAUCCCUCCAUAAUAAAAUUUUGGGUUUCUAGUCUUUGUUUUUGUAGAGCUUUUUACUGCUGGGCCUGAGUAGAAAUCAAGAAACAUAAAUAGAUAGAAAUGUGAGAUGUCCAGGACUUUAUGCCUGCUCUCUCUCUCUCUCUUUCUCGAGUCACUCUCAAAAUCUGGUUCGGGUUAGGUUAUAGACAUUUUAUGUGGAACUCAAAAACUGAGAUAGGAUCAAUACUUUUAAAAAUCUAUGCAUUUCUUAUUUUCCAAAACCCAAACAAACAAACCAAACGAAUAUUUUAAUUUUACUGAAAGUAUUAUUUGUAUUUAAUUUUAAAAUAAUUAUAUAUAAAUAUAGUUUAUAAUUAAAACAAGUACAUUUAUAUAUUUUUUUCAGCUACUAGCCAAUUCUCGAUAUUUUUAGCAAAAUCGAACUGAAUUCUGUAGAAACCCUGUCUAAACCUGAAAGCACCGACAGUGCCGGCUCAAUAGGGAGUGCGGCCGGUGCGACCGCCCCGGGUCCGGUUCAAAUCUUACAAUAUUAGGGGCCCUAAUUAUUUAAUUAGCAUAUCUGAUUUAGAUUUAAACAGUAUUAAAACGAUGUAUCAUAAUUUUUUCUAGUUAAAUUAUCAAAGAGAAUAUACAUGUUUGAUGCUCGAGUCGAAAUUUCAGGAAAUUUUUUUACCAACGUUAAAAAAUUAACUUACUAUAGGGGCUUUAAAAUUCUUUUUGCCCAAGGGCCCUUCUAUAUAUUAAGCCGGCCCUGAGCACCGAAAACCAUAAACUCGAACUGGAACCAAACUAUAAUGCCCUCUGCCUAAAUCAAACACUGAAAAUCUGAAACUUUGUAACCCAUUUGCUACUUGUGUUACAGGCUUCACGGUACACAGAUAUAUCCUAUUGAUUAAAUAGUGGGCUUUAAGACAAGGCCUUUCCAGUUUUUGUGGGCCGAAACUGAAAAUAAAAUGCUACACUUGCCCACCAGCGAACGUGAACAUCAGAGUCACAGAUAACAACACUUGAGAGAGUUAUCAGAAAGAGUUCCCUAUCGACACUCUCUCUCUCUCUCUCUUCCUCUCAGCAUCAUCAUCACCACCAAAUCGCCGCCAUGUUCAGACAAGCUUCUCGCCUCGUCUCCCGAUCUAUCACCGCCAAAUCGGCGACAAACCGUGCGUUUUCAACGGAAGUCCCGUCGACGAUCGAUUCGAGUUUCGUGGAGGCAUGGAAGAAAGUCGCACCGAACAUGGACCCGCCGCAGACUCCUUCUUCCUUCAUGAAGCCUCGUCCAUCGACUGCUUCCUCGAUUCCGACGAAGCUCACCGUCAAUUUCGUCCUCCCUUACGCAUCUGAGCUUUCCGGGAAAGAGGUCGGCUUUCAUUUUUCCUCGUUCGAUGUUCGCAUUUAGGUUUCUAGGGUUUGAUCUAUGACUCUGUGUGUUAUGGUUACAUAUUUGAUUGUUGUUUGAUUUCAUGAUAAGGUGGUUAAUUAGGUCUGAAGACUUUUGAUUUUUGGUUAGAUCUAACGGCGCUAAAGUUUAGGGUUUUGAUAGGCCAAAGCUGAAACUGGCGCAGUUGAUGUUUCGUUUAGUUUCUACAUAAUUGUUAAUAACAAGAUCAAGAACAAAAAAAAAAGCCUCACUUUUUAGUGAUUAAGAAUAACCUAAAUCUCCCUAAUUUCUCAGGUUUACCAUUUGUUGUCUCUGCAAAAUGUUGCUUGCUAUAAAUCCAUUAAAAUUUUAUUAAGAGUUUUGUUAUCUCUGCUCUGUUCAUAACCAAAUGAUCCUGGUGUGUUUUUUACGGUUUCUAAUACAAUGUGAUUGGCAAAUAAUGUUUGUUUCAUAUAUCUUGAAACUUUGAUGUUGACAAAUUAUAACUGCUGAUUUCUAAUGUGUUAAUUGGUUUUGUGAAGGUUAAUCUUUUCUCUUCUAUUGAUAUAUGAUGUGGUAUACAUAUAGACUGAAUCUCCAUGGCAAGUAGUAAUUUCUCAUUGGCUUAUUCUCAUAUGUUGGUGGUGCAUUCACUGUGAUAUCUCUUCUGUAGAAUAUACAUUCAGUACUGAAAGUUCUUAUCGUCCCUGACUUGCUUUCUGAUGCAUCCAUUGCUUAUAUCCGAGAACGUAAACCUAUUUCUUGAUUGGUUUGUUUUCUUGUAUAUAUUUAAUUAUAACUCAAAGCUUAUUGGCUUUUUCUCUUUUGUCUACUUCAAGGUCGACAUGGUCAUCAUUCCCGCGACAACAGGACAAAUGGGUGUUUUGCCUGGACACGUUCCAACAAUCGCUGAGCUCAAACCCGGUAUCAUGUCCGUCCACGAAGGUACUGACAUCAAGAAAUACUUUGUGAGCAGUGGAUUUGCAUUUCUCCACGCAAAUUCCGUUGCUGACAUUAUCGCGGUUGAGGCCGUGCCGCUUGAGAACAUCGACGCAAGCCAAGUCCAAAAGGGUUUAGCUGAGUUUACACAGAAACUUGCUUCUGCCACAACAGAUCUUGAGAAAGCAGAAGCACAGAUUGGUGUCGAAGUUCACAGUGCUAUGAACGCAGCUCUCUCGGGCUGAUGAUGAGUGAAAGUCUCUUUUUUACUACUACAAAUGAUGGAAUAAAUUAGAAAAUGAUUUUAUUUUUCCUUUUCGUAAUUGUGUUGGACUUUUUGGAAUAAAUGAUUUUGUUGAAGGCACAAACCAACAGAAAGUUAUUAUUCUUCUCGACUUAUGUUUGUUUUGAGAUUGAGAAACUAAGUUCCCGAAUUGAUUUAUGGUUUUCAUUUCCUAAAAUUCUUUUUUUCUCACUUUGGGCCAUUUUUGCAAUGUCACUUCAGAACGAUUAAAAAUUGUUGGUUUUUCUUGUUGAUUUUGAAACUCUCUCGAAGUGACAAUAUUAGUGUUUUACAGUGACCUAGAAAUAAUAUGAUUUUUAAAAUAUCGAACAACUCAUAUCAUGAUUAACAUAUCAUACUGUACGUAGGCUGGGACGGAUCCAGAUAUUCGGAAAAUUUAAUAUCCGGAUUUCGGAUAUCCGUCUCGAUAUUUUAUUACCCGCGGAUAUCCGGAUCCGUAAAAAUAAUUAAAAAUAAUAUUUUUUUUUAAAACUAAAAUUUUAAUAUAAUAUAUAAACCUGUUGGUACUGGUCGUGGAAGUUCAGUUGGGGGCCACCUUCCCCACCAACAAGCCACCCAGCAUAAUGUUGGAACUAUUGGCCCUAAUGUGAACUUCCCCCUUGAUAGUCCAAAUAGCCAGCCUUCACCUGGUGGUCCGCUAUCCCAACCUGGAUAUGUAAGUAUCGCCCUCAUCUCUUUUAAUUUUUUUCUUUCAUCUAGUAGUUUCUGAAGCAUUAGAGCUCGAUUGUUUUUGGUUGACUUUAAAUCAUCAUACGAUGUUGCCUUUUCAGGGAAGCCAAGCAUUCAGGGAUGGUUUUAUGGGCGGCAUUUCUCAGGUUGUCUUCUCGUUUUAUGUUACUUAGUGAUCAGGGGCAGUCUUUUCUACUUUUGUCUGUUAUUUAAUAUCUUCUAUGUCAAUACCACCAGGAUUUCUUAGGUGAUGAUUUCAAGAGCCAGGGAUCUCAUGUUCCUUACAACAUGGGCGACUAUUCUACACAGGUAGUUUCUCUUCUGCCUGCUUUAGUUAUUAGACAUGUAAAUACUUUGGAUAUAUGAUAGUAGGACUACGAUAAGAUGUCUUUGGAAAUGUAAAACCAAAAUUCCGAGGUUGGGCCAGAUAUAUAUAACCAUGUGUUGCAAAGUUGAUAGUUCUUGAAUUUCACAUAGGAAUUACUGACUGUUCAUGUUUUUUGUAUAUGUUCUUCGUUUCUGAGCCAUAUUUGUAUAUAAUUUCUUUGUAUGCCUCACAGGGAGGAUAUGCGGUUGAUUAUGCCACACAAGGAGCCCAUGGAGCUUUUCCUGGAAACUUUAUGAACCAAAAUUCUCAAGGGGGUUAUUCUCGUUUCAGUGGGAGUAAUGAUUUCAUGUCCCAGGUGUGUUUCACCUAGCCUUUCCUUUUAACACAGUUUUUUUUCCUUAAUUCCUAGACCUUCGUCUGAGUCCUCUAUUGUUGACACAGGAGUAUAUGGCGCAUGGAGCACAAGGUCUUUUCACCCAAGCUGGCUUUAUCGACUCAUCUCAGGAUGAUGGACAACAGAAUCCUUUUGGUGUGAACAAUCCUAAUCUUCAGUCUCAGGUUUGUCCUUAAUCCUAAUCCUUGAUAGUUCGUUUGCAUUAACGUUUACAAUUAACAAAAAAGGAGGAUUCUUAAGAUAGCGAAGGUUGUGUGUUUAUAUAGAGAGAAUUACACACUAAACAUUAACCCAAACUCAUACAAACAAUUGAGGCCUUUCGAGUUUGUGUUCACCAUAUUAAUCUUUGGUACUCAUGUUUCUUUUCAAAAGAUGCUAACGACUCUUCGUCUCACAGGGUCUCCCGAAUUCACUCUACUCGCAGCCUUUCUCACACUACACCCAGCCACUAAACCUUUCAGGCCCACAGCAAUCUCAACCUCCUAACCAAGGCUCACAAAACCCAAAACCUCCUCACAACGGCUAAAGAUGACACAUGCAGAAGCUGAAUGCAAACGGGUUUGUAAACCUUUUUUUUUGCAAAUUCAGCAGUUUGGUAUCAUGCUAUCACGGCUCCAAACAAACAUCUGGUGGCUUCUCGGGGUGCUUGCAAGUUACGUGCCUUUCUGGCUCGCUUAGCAACAGGUAAUGAUGAUGCAGAGAGACAUGUACCUAAGUAACCCGAGGAGAUUCUUGGUCCAUACAUCCUCUGGGCUUAUAUAAAUGUUUGGUUUUGCCGUGUAAUAUUAUAAUAUCAUCCUCUUAUUGUAGUUUAUAUCUGAAGCUACCCUUAGUUAAAAAUCGGUGUUGGUGUCUGGUGAUAUUGAUAUGAGUACUGCAAACUCUCUUGCCUUUAUUUAUUUUUUU
rnacentral:lncRNA from 1 species